AUAUAGAGAGAUUUUGUUUCUUCUUCACCAUGUGAUUUUGUUUGAUAAAGUGGUUCAGUUUCUAGAUGUUUACACCUUGCUGACCGGUUCCAUGCUUGGCUUAUUUGUUUCCCCAUUUUCGUUUUUCCCCUUCUCCCCUAAAAUCCCUAAUCAGCUACGCGUCUCCAUCAACACCUAUCUUCAUCAUCCUCUACACCAACAUGAUUCCUUUCGUUUUCUUUUUCUCCACCUCCCAUUUCCGCCCAUCUAUUGUUCGUUGGUCAAGUAGCGCUGACAAUAACAGGCAAUCAGUGACUGAUGAUGACUAAUUGUUGACCGGUGUUAGUCGUCAAUCUCCCGCCGCAAGCUUCUCCGUCAACAGUGGAGAUUUUAGGAUUGCGCGACAUAGAGAGGAGUGAGACAGAGCACGUCGGUGUAAAGACUUCCGGUCGUUCCUUCCCUACGGCAAUGGUGGUAAUCAGGGACGGCGACUGUACUGUUUGGUGGUGCCUCUCAGACGACAACGAGUGUUAAACGGACCACGAUAUGUUCUGAUUCGGAGACUUGAAAACCUAAUAUCAGAUAAUCAAUUUCAAGAUUGCAAGAGGGUAAAGGAGUGGUAUUCCAGUUCUUUGGAAUGACCUGGCCUCAGGCAUCAGACGAUGGCGGCACACCCUAGAGUCCCGAUCUAUCGAGCGGGUGUUACAUUAGCAGGACAAGGGAUCCGAACAUUGAUCCGGCGACAAGGAAGGUGAAAAAUGAACUUUUGGUUUUAGAGUCGCUUUUAUGGAGGUAUGCUAUGCUGACAUUUAGGCGUGUUGCUUAUAUCGAUUUCUUACACGCUUCUGCUAGGUUUUGGGUUUUCUUGACAACACGUGUAUUGUGACGUGUUAUCUCUUGAACACAUAAAUCCUUUUACUCCAGGAGUAUUUAUCUAAAUGUUGUCUUUGUUUGAUUUCCAGGUUAGUAUCUUCCAGGAAGCUUUUAAAUUUGUGCUUCUUUGUUUUUGGAUUUGUUAAUUAGGUGUGCAAAUUGUUGUUUUUGUGUGUCUGGGUUAAGCAUUUCGUUUGUAUUUUGUUUGUUUUUCGUUGUGCGGCGCUACAAUUACUUUUAGAUUAGUCAAUCUUUGGGCUUCGAUGUGGUAAUUGUGUCUGCGAUUUCCUUUUUUUGUGUGCUUGGUGUACGGUUGGUGACUCGCAUUGGUAGCUCAAUGCCCAAAUUCGAUAACUGCUUCUCGAUUAUCUCCUUUUUGUGUGUGUUUUGUUAAGUGUCAGAAAAGAGUGUGUUAUAAGUAGCCCACAACCUUAGACCUCAAAACUGUGUUCUUGAUGGUUCUGAACUCAAACUUUCAAAAUCGAUUAUUAAUGAUAAAAGGAUAGUCUUUUAAAAAAUAUUAAAGAUGAUAUUUGCAUUCUAAGAACUUUCUUUGAUAGGGGUUGUUUAGUUUAAGUUGAUUAGUGGUAAUUAGGAGUAUAAAUUGCUGUUUAAAAGAAACAACAAAACACUAUCUGUACAAACCCAACAAAAAGUUAAUUUUAUUUUACUCUUUGAAUCUCUUAUCAUUGCAGUAUAUCCUAACAUUUCCAUAUUAUACAAACUGUAGGAGAUAUGUUCUUGAAAAAAGAAAGUAUAUUUUUAAGUCUAGAAGGGAACAUAUAAUAUUUUCUUGUACUGAUUUGUAUAGCAAUUAAAGAAUAAACUCGUUUAUGACAAGGAACAAGCAUUUAGGGGUGAACACUAUUUGAUUUGAGUUAACUUUGGUUUUAUAUUACAAUUGGUCCUACUUCUGUUUAUUUGGUUAUUGGUCAAAACUUUUGGCUUGGCCUUCAGAUUUCUUCAUCUUAUAGUUCCUAUUUAAAAAGGAAAAAUUAGUGACAGUGAUUUUGUUUCUGACAUACUAACUUAAUUCGAACCACUGUCGAAAUAAAUUAGAUGAGCCUCAAUGGAGGUUAUUAAUUAGAACACCAAAUGGACUCCUUCCACAUAAAAGGUGGACUUAGUCACUUUCUUCCUUUGUUUUCAAUCAAACUUUUUCAAACUUAAAGGAGCUUUUUAAAUCUAUUCUAAGUAGUCGUGUCUAUGAAACAUGGUUCGUUUUAAAAACUAAUAUAUCAAGUACUACUCGGUGUGUUUGAAUUAGUGUUUUUCAAUUCUGUUGUGAUUUUGUUGUUGAAAUAAUUGUUGUGUGGAAAUAUAGAUAUGCAGGUGUCUGUGUAUAUAUAUAUUUAUAUGUGGGGAGGAUGAGACAAAGUGUUAAUGGUAACUGCUAUGAAGGGUAAGUGGGCAAAGGUGUUUUAUGCUAUUGUUUUAUAUGAUUGAAGCACUUCUUAGUCAUUUCAGAUUCAACCAGCUCACAAAAGAAAGAGCUCAUGGAAUGAUCAAGAGGAAAGCACUUUUUUGCAGUUGCAAACUAGGACAAAAAUGCAACUGCAAUCCAUUUGUUAAGCAGCCAUAUCGACUAACAACAUCUCUUUGGCACAGGUUAUGAAACGAACAUACCCGAUGUUAGUCCCAAAACACCACAACAAUUGUAUGAAAUUUAUAUACCUAAGACCUUAUCAGUUGAAGGAGGUUCUUUAUGUCUUUCUGUAACGAAUAUAUGUGUUAUUUUCUAUGAUCAUAUUCCCAGAUGUUUUUAAGCCGCACC